GGGCCCGUAACUCAGCCUGGUAGAGUAACCGACUCAUAAUCGGUGAGCCGUGAGAUCAAAGCUCGCCGGGCCCA
rnacentral:tRNA from 1 species